GUGAUCGAGCGACGCCGCGUGCGGGAUGAAGGUCUUCGGAUUGUAAACCGCUUUUCCCUGGGAAGAACACUUAGGUCGUGAACUUAAGUUUGACGGUACCAGGGGAAUAAGCCCCGGCUAACUCCGUGCCAGCAGCCGCGGUAAGACGGAGGGGGCAAGCGUUGUUCGGAUUUACUGGGCAUAAAGAGCACGUAGGCGGACCUACAAGUCAGUUGUGAAAUCCCGGGGCUCAACCCCGGAACGGCAUCCGAUACUAUAGGUCUAGAGGAUGAAAGAGGAGAGUGGAACUUCUGGUGGAGCGGUGAAAUGCGUAGAUAUCAGAAGGAACACCGGUGGCGAAAGCGACUCUCUGGUUCAUAUCUGACGCUGAGGUGCGAAAGCUAGGGGAGCAAACGGGAUUAGAUACCCCGGUAGUCCUAGCCGUAAACGAU
rnacentral:rRNA from 1 species